AUGGAGCUCGCCAUGCUAGCCAUCCGCCCUCUCCUCUCGAAGCUGGGGGACCUGCUCGCAGGCGAGUUCACCCUUGAGAAGCGUGUGAGGAAAGGCGUCGAGUCUCUUAGCAAGGAGAUGUUGCUGAUGCAGGUUGCCCUUGGCAAGGUGGCGAAAGUGCCGCCCGAGGAGCUCGAUGAGGGGGUCAAGAUCUGGGCAGGAAUGGUAAGGGACCUGGCCUACCAAAUGGAAGACAUCGUGGAUGUCUUCAUUGUGUGUGUGGAUGAUUUAUCUGCCAACCCAAAGAAUAGAGUGAAGAAGUUGCUUAAGAAGACAGGCAAGUUAUUCAAGAAGGGCAAAGAUCUUCAUCGAAUCUCCGAUGCUCUAGAAGAAGCAGUUACUCAGGCUAAGCAGCUGGCUGAGUUGUGCCAAAGAUGUGAGAGAGCUUGUCGGCAUUGA
rnacentral:rRNA from 1 species